CGCUGGAGACAAACAGAGAGAGGAACAAAAUGAGUGCCAUCCUCCUUCAAACUUGAAACCACUCACACGGCUGGGCUGGGCUGGGCUGGGCUGAGCGGGUCCUGCCACAGACAAGAUCUGAAGCUUUCCCUGAAGGGAAAGAUGAAUCAGAAAUGCAGUCAAAGGCUCAACAGGGAAGUUCGAAGAGCUGCACAAAGCCCGAACUGUUCAAAGGACAAACAUUAACAAAGGGAAGUUAAUUAAAACAGAGCCGGUGGCUCCGUUCCAUCAUCACAGAACAACUGGGCACGGAAUCUCAAUGAAGAGCAUUUUCCAAACAAGAACCUUUUCAGCAGCACGCAGAAAACACUGGGGGAACUCAGCGGGUCAGGCAGCAUCUACGGAAAUGAAUGAACAGUCGAUGUUUCAGGCCGAGACCCUUCUUCAGAACUGAGGUUGGAAGCUACCCAGACGGACCAUAAUGUGCUGCUCCUCGGUCGUGAGGGUGGCUUCAUUUUGGCUCAGGAGGAGGCCGUGGACCAACAGGUCGUCAUGGGAAUGGGUUUUAGUCAACUCAACAAUUGAUCACGUCAAACGAACCCGCGACGCCCUACCCCUUCAACCUACUUCUGCUGGGCGCCCGUUUAUUCAGCAAGGAGUGCUGCUCCUCGGCGAAGGUCAGGCGCCGGACGACGUCCGCCAGCGCUGCCUUCAGAACCUGGAUUUCGUCGUCUUGCAGCUGCAUCCUCUGCUCCAGGUAGGAGAUACGGUCGCCAACGUCCAGGCUGCUGGCGGCCGACACGCUGUCAUCUGCAAAAGGACAAAAAGCUCAUGGAAUGACAGGUGGUGGAGGCCAUUGGGCCCAUCCUGUUCAUACUGUACCGCACAAAAGUCUUAGGCACAAGAAAAACAAUUCUUAGAGCGAAGAUGCUUUCAAAAAUAACAAAUUAUAAUGUUUCUAAAUAUCAAAAAAUUACUAUAAAGAGCAAUAAAUGUAUAAAACUAAAUUAAAUCUAUUUUUGGUGUGACCACCCUUUAAAGCUGCAUCAAUUCUCUUAGGUCGUGCAGUUUUAUAAGAAAGUUGGCUGGUAGGUUGCUCCAAGCAUCUUGGAGAACUUGCCACAGUUCUUCUGCAGACUUUGCCUGUCUCGCUGGCUUCUAUCUCUCCAGGUGGCCUCAAUGAUGUGGCAGUCAAGGCUCUGUGGAGGCUGUACCAUCUAAAACCAUAUAAAAAGUCUAGGGGUACCUAAGACUUUUGCAUAGUACUCUGAAAAAAAUAACAUUAUAGCACAGCACAGGCCUUUCAGCCUAUAAUGUUGUGUUGACCUUAUAACUGAGACUUCCCCUUACACAGCACACUAUUUUCAAUCAUCCAAGUGUGUAUUUAAGCAUUUCUUAAAUACCCGUAAGGUAUCAGCCUCUAACACCAGCUGUUCCAAGUGCCACUGCUCACUUUGUAAAGAACUUAGCUCUGACAUCUCCCUUGUACUUUCCUCCAAUUGCCUUAGUUAUGGCCCCUUGUAUUAGUCAUUUCUGAUUUGGGAAAAGUCUCUGAUCUAGCCUCUUAUCAUCUAGAUAGAUAGAUAGAUACUUUAUUCAUCCCCAAGGGGAAAUUCAAAAUUUUUCCAGUGUCCCAUACACUUAUUGUAGCAAAACUAAUUACAUACAGUAUUUAACUCAGUAUAAAUAUGUUAUGCAUCUAAAAUCACCCUCCCAAAAAGCAUUAAUAAAUAGCUUUUAAAAAGUUCUUAAAUAGUUUACUAGUGCAUUGAGUGGUAACUUAAGCUCAGUCCUAACCCCGGCACUUUAACAUGUCUUGCCCCUGGUGGUUGAAUUGUAGAGCCAAAUGGCGUUGGGGAGUAAUGAUCUCUUCAUCCUGUCUGAGGAGCAUUGCAUUGACAGCAACCUGCCGCUGAAGCUGCUUCUCUGUCUCUGGAUGGUGCUGUGCAGGAUGUUCAGGGUUUUCCAUGAUUGACCGUAGCCUACUCAGCGCCCUCCUCUCUGCCACCGAUGUCAUACUCUCCAGUUCUGUGCCCACGACAGAGCCCGCCUUCCUUGCCAGCUUAUUAAGACGUGAGGCGUCCCUCUUCUUAAUGCUGCCUCCCCAGCACGCCAUCACAAAGAAGAGGGCGCUCUCCACAACUGACCGAUAGAACAUCUUCAGCAUCUCACUACAAACAUUGAAUACAUCUCUAUCAAAUUUACUCUCACCCUCCUUCACUCCAAAGAGAAAUUCCUCACUCGCUCAACCUCUCUCCAUAAGACAUGCUCCGUAAUCCAGGCAGCAUCCUGGUAAAUCUCCUCUGCACUCUCUCUAAAGCUUCCACAUCCUUCCUGUAAAGAGCCAACCAGUAUGGAACACAAUACUCCAAGUGUGGUCGAACCAGAGUUUUAUAGAGGUGAACCAUUACCUCACAGCUCUUGAACUCAAUCUCCUGACUAGUGAGCAUGUGUGCCACGAGCCCUGCAGGCCUUUGUGGCAGGCCGCAGGCCAUUGGGGUUCCACGCUUCCGAACACCUGUGUGUACUAAUUGUGGUCUUAAUGAGAGUUUUUGAGCCCUGGCGCUUUCUGUUUAAUCUUGUCAAGUUAAUUGUGACUGGCGUGUGUUUUCCACAUUCUAUGAUUAUUUUACAGGGACUCUCGUGUAGAACUGGGCUGAAUCCUUGUGUCUGUGGAGAAUGAUUUGUCUCAUGGUGUCGCUCAGUUGUGCCUCUGUUGCUAUUCCUAUGUCUAACUUCUUGUUUCUGUCUCUUCAUGGGGAGUCUGUCUUUCCUCUGUCCCUGGGCUGAGUCAUUGCCAGCGCUCACCGUGACAGAGUCUGCCGUAUCUCUGUCACUGGGUCAAGACGUAGCCACCGCUCACCGUGACAGAGUCUGCCAUUCUUCCGUUCCUGGGCUGAGUCAUUGCCAGCGCUCACCGUGACAGAGUCUGUCGUACCUCUGUCCCUGGUUCAAGAUGGUGCCACCGCUCACCGUGACAGAGUUUGUCG